rnacentral:rRNA from 1 species
AUUGAACGCUGGCGGCAGGCCUAACACAUGCAAGUCGAACGGUAACAGAAAGCAGCUUGCUGCUUUGCUGACGAGUGGCGGACGGGUGAGUAAUGUCUGGGAAACUGCCUGAUGGAGGGGGAUAACUACUGGAAACGGUAGCUAAUACCGCAUAACGUCGCAAGACCAAAGAGGGGGACCUUCGGGCCUCUUGCCAUCGGAUGUGCCCAGAUGGGAUUAGCUAGUAGGUGGGGUAACGGCUCACCUAGGCGACGAUCCCUAGCUGGUCUGAGAGAAUGACCAGCCACACGGAGACUGAGCACCGGCCCAUACUCCCACGGGAGGCAGGGGGGGGGAAUUUUGCAAAUGGGGGGCAACCCUGAGGCAACCAUGCCGGGGUUAAGAAAGAGCCCUUCGGGGUUUAAAGUAAUUUGGGGGGGGAGAAAGGGAGUAAAGUUAAUCCCUUGGCCCAUUGGCUUUACCCGCAGAAGAAACACCGGCUAACCCCCG